ACCACAGAAGGUAAUAGUCCUGUAUGUUAAACGAGAAGACUUUAGAUAUGAUCCAGAGUACCACGGGACACGUGAAACCCUGUGGGAAGCAGGAGGGACCACCCUCCAAGGCUAAAUACUACCUAGUGACCGAUAGCGUAUAGUACCGUGAGGGAAAGGUGAAAAGAACCCCGGGAGGGGAGGGAAAUAGAACCUGAAACCCUGCACUUACAAGCUGUGGAAGCACAUUUCUUGUGUGACCGCGUACUUUUUGUAGAACGGGCCAACGAGUUACGUUAAGUAGCAAGGUUAAGCACUUAAGGUGCGGAGCCGUAGCGAAAGCGAGUUUUAACUGAGCGUUCAGUUACUUGACGUAGACCCGAAACCGGGCGACCUACCCAUGAGCAGGAUGAAGCGAAAGUAAAAUUUCGUGGAGGUCCGAACCCACGAGCGUUGAAAAGCUCGGGGAUGACUUGUGGGUAGCGGUGAAAUUCCAAUCGAGCCCGGAGAUAGCUGGUUCUCCCCGAAAUAGCUUUAGGGCUAGCCUCAAGGUGA
rnacentral:rRNA from 1 species